GUGCUAUCUUCAGGAGUUCAUGCAGUAAAAUUGGAAAGAUAGAAUACUAACAGGCCACUAUGCAAGGAUGACACACAUCAGCCAUGAAACAGUUCAUAUUUUA
rnacentral:snRNA from 1 species